UACGUAGGGUGCAAGCGUUAAUCGGAAUUACUGGGCGUAAAGCGUGCGCAGGCGGUUUUGUAAGUCUGUCGUGAAAUCCCCGGGCUCAACCUGGGAAUUGCGUUGGAGACUGCAAGGCUAGAAUCUGGCAGAGGGGGGGUAGAAUUCCACGUGUAGCAGUGAAAUGCGUAGAGAUGUGGAGGAACACCGAUGGCGAAGGCAGCCCCCUGGGUCAAGAUUGACGCUCAUGCACGAAAGCGUGGGGAGCAAACAGG
rnacentral:rRNA from 1 species